rnacentral:ncRNA from 1 species
UAUCUGUUCAGAUAAACGGAUUAAAAGGGAAUCGGGUGAAAAUCCCGAACAGUCCCGCUGCUGUGAAGCUCCAUCCAACUUAUUGAAAAGGCUCAUACCACUGAUAUACAAUGGCUAUAUUGGGAAGGUUCAAUAAGGGAGUCAGUCAGAAGACCUGCCAUCAUUUAU